rnacentral:hammerhead_ribozyme from 1 species
AUCUAGAUGACGAGUCCCAAAUAGGACGAAAUGUGUGCUAACUUGGUGGAU